UGGGGAAUUUUGGACAAUGGGGGAAACCCUGAUCCAGCCAUCCCGCGUGUGCGAUGAAGGCCUUCGGGUUGUAAAGCACUUUUGGCAGGAAAGAAACGUCGCGGGUUAAUACCCCGCGAAACUGACGGUACCUGCAGAAUAAGCACCGGCUAACUACGCGCCAGCAGCCGCGGUAAUACGUAGGGUGCAAGCGUUAAUCGGAAUUACUGGGCGUAAAGCGUGCGCAGGCGGUUCGGAAAGAAAGAUGUGAAAUCCCAGAGCUUAACUUUGGAACUGCAUUUUUAACUACCGGGCUAGAGUGUGUCAGAGGGAGGUGGAAUUCCGCGUGUAGCAGUGAAAUGCGUAGAUAUGCGGAGGAACACCGAUGGCGAAGGCAGCCUCCUGGGAUAACACUGACGCUCAUGCACGAAAGCGUGGGGAGCAAACAGGAUUAGAUACCCUGGUAGUCCACGCCCUAAACGAUGUCAACUAGCUGUUGGGGCCUUCGGGCCUUGGUAGCGCAGCUAACGCGUGAAGUUGACCGCCUGGGGAGUACGGUC
rnacentral:rRNA from 1 species